rnacentral:rRNA from 1 species
GCAUGCCUACAACAUAGCAUUAAUGCACUGGAUCCCAUUAGAACUCUACAGUUAAGUGCGCUCAGGCUAGAGUAGAACUAGGAUUGGUGACCUCUUGGGAAGUCCUAGUGUUUUACAUGCC